rnacentral:rRNA from 1 species
CCUACGGGGGGCUGCAGUGGGGAAUUUUGGACAAUGGGGGCAACCCUGAUCCAGCCAUGCCGCGUGCGGGAAGAAGGCCUUCGGGUUGUAAACCGCUUUUGUCGGGGAAGAAAUCCUCUGGGCUAAUACCUCGGGGGCAUGACGGUACCCGGAGAAUAAGCACCGGCUAACUACGUGCCAGCAGCCGCGGUAAUACGUAGGGUGCAAGCGUUAAUCGGAAUUACUGGGCGUAAAGUGUGCGCAGAGAUGUGAAAUCCCCGGGCUCAACCUGGGAACUGCAUUUGUGACUACAUGGCUGGAGUGCGGCAGAGGGGGAUGGAAUUCCGCGUGUAGCAGUGAAAUGCGUAGAUAUGCGGAGGAACACCGAUGGCGAAGGCAAUCCCCUGGGCCUGCACUGACGCUCAUGCACGAAAGCGUGGGGAGCAAACAGGAUUAGAUACCCUAGUAGUC